rnacentral:lncRNA from 1 species
UGGCAUAGCCACCGCAUUCCCUUCAGUCCUCUCCUCCUCCAAGUCCAAGUUCGCCGCCGCCGUGCAGUUGCCUGGUGUUGGUGCCAAUGGUAGCCACCGUGUUAGCAUGUCAGCUGACUGGAUGCCUGGUCAGCCUAGGCCACCUUACCUUGAUGGCUCAGCACCAGGGUAAGGUUUCAAAGUAGCUAAACUAGAAUAAUGGGUUUGUUUUGUACCUUUUAGAUAAAUGUUGAAAAAAGCUUUGUUUUGUGUUUUUCAGUGACUUUGGAUUUGACCCACUAAGGCUCGGUGAGGUCCCAGAGAACCUUGAGAGGUACAAGGAGUCUGAGUUGAUUCACUGCAGAUGGGCUAUGCUUGCUGUUGUAAGUUGAUUUUUCACUCUUAAAUCUGUAAUUUUCCUGUUUGACACUUUCAGUUUUUAAUGUACAACUGUUGAAAUGUGAAUUUUCUAUGGUAUAGAAUUACACUAUGAUAUGCGAUUUUGUUAAUUUUUUGAGCAAGCAUUCAUGAAAAAUAGGUAACCUAGCUCUAUGAUAAUAAAAGAGAGGCAUG